CUCAUUUCACUCUCUCUCCUCACCGUUUUUUUUCUCUCUCUCUCUACUCAAUUUUAGCCAUCGCCCAUCGUCCGCCAUCCCUAGCCCAUUCUCCGCCGUUGCCACCUACUGUCCAACCGAAAAUACAACAUUUGAGAAGACAGGGAAGGGGAAGAGGCCAGGAAAAGGAGGCAAUUGAUGCUAAGAGUAUUGGCUUAGGUUUUAAAACUCCUCGUGAGGCUACUGAAGGUUUUGGCUUUUGGUAAUUCUUGGGUACAUAAUAUGAACAAGGGAAAACCUUGAUCUUCUGUGUAUUGAAAAUGAAGAAGAUCAUCUCCUUAUAAGGUUACAAAGAAACCUAUACAUGGUAAAUACAAUUUGUUCAAAAUCAUAUGCAGGUUUUGGCUUUUGUUAAUUCUUGGGUACAUAAUAUGAACAUUGGAAAAACCUUGAUUUUCUGUGUAUUGAAAAUGAAGGCGAUCAUCUC